rnacentral:rRNA from 1 species
UACGGAGGGGGCGAGCGUUAUUCGGAAUUACUGGGCGUAAAGGGCGCGUAGGCGGUUCGUUAAGUCCUGUGUGAAAUCCCCCGGCUCAACUGGGGAACUGCACAGGAAACUAGCGGGCUUGAGUUCGGGAGAGGGAAGCGGAAUUCCGGGUGUAGCGGUGAAGUGCGUAGAUAUCCGGAGGAACACCGGUGGCGAAGGCGGCUUCCUGGACCGACACUGACGCUGAGGCGCGAAAGCUAGGGGAGCAAACGGG